rnacentral:snoRNA from 1 species
GUGUUCACCUGAUUAAUGGCAGGCUAGUCACCCUGAACCUCUCAAAAUGCCCCAUGCCAGAUAAAAUUAUGGCCAUACCACUGACUAGCCUUUGCAUGUGGGCUGUAAACACUGAUACUACAAAAAU